rnacentral:lncRNA from 1 species
AGCUGUCUGUGAUCAAUAGGAAGGCCUCUCGGUCCAGCCCCGCCCCUCCCCUCGCCUCCCAGGGGAGCAGAUGGCAGCUCUAAGUCGUCAGCGCUGUGGGAGGGCAAGCUGGCCAAGCAGGCAGAGCUUCCGGAAGGAGCUGGCAGCCCUGGCACCUGGCCAUGUGGCACCCCGGGGCGGGCAUUCUCAGGGCUCCAGGAAGUCACCCCUCUCCCUCCACACUGGGAGCCUGUGUGUCAGGCUCGCACUCUGUCCCCAGACAGGUCCCCCUGACCCGGUCCUCAUGUUCCUGUUGAGAUGUUGUUUACUACACUGAGAGAUGCCAGGCUGAUGGCAUAGGUGCCCUUCCCUGGAGGGGGGCUCACCAUGAGCCCCAGGGAUGCAGCCAUCAGGUGUUUGAGGGAGGCAAGCGCUGGCCACCCAGGUGCCCGGGGUCAGAUUUUCUUCUCACCUCCAGCACGGCCUCCUGGUCUAUGACCCCUCACCCCCAAGCCCACUGGCAUCUUCAAGAACCCAGAGUAAAUCUUUUCACAGCCCCAAAGUGUGCAUGAACCCAGGUCAGUGCCACACCAACUAAGCCAGUGCCCCGCCCUCAGAAGGCAAAAUGGGUCAGGUGGGAGCAGGGUGGACUGCCUCAGGAAGGGCAGGAGGGAGAGAGGGACGCCCAGGG